CCUACGGGCGGCUGCAGUAAGGAAUAUUGGGCAAUGGAGGCAACUCUGACCCAGCCAUGCCGCGUGAAGGAUGAAGGCCCUAUGGGUUGUAAACUUCUUUUGUAUGGGAAUAAACCCAGUUACGUGUAACUGGCUGAAUGUACCAUAAGAAUAAGCACCGGCUAACUCCGUGCCAGCAGCCGCGGUAAUACGGAGGGUGCAAGCGUUAUCCGGAUUUAUUGGGUUUAAAGGGUGCGUAGGCGGGAUUGUAAGUCAGUGGUGAAAUCCUUCAGCUC
rnacentral:rRNA from 1 species